AGUGAACGCUGGCGGUAGGCCUAACACAUGCAAGUCGAACGGCAGCACAGAGGAGCUUGCUCCUUGGGUGGCGAGUGGCGGACGGGUGAGGAAUACAUCGGAAUCUACUCUGUCGUGGGGGAUAACGUAGGGAAACUUACGCUAAUACCGCAUACGACCUACGGGUGAAAGCAGGGGAUCUUCGGACCUUGCGCGAUUGAAUGAGCCGAUGUCGGAUUAGCUAGUUGGCGGGGUAAAGGCCCACCAAGGCGACGAUCCGUAGCUGGUCUGAGACGAUGAUCAGCCACACUGGAACUGAGAAACGGUCCAGACUCCUACGGGAGGCAGCAGUGGGGAAUAUUGGACAAUGGGCGCAAGCCUGAUCCAGCCAUACCGCGUGGGUGAAGAAGGCCUUCGGGUUGUAAAGCCCUUUUGUUGGGAAAGAAAUCCAUCUGGUUAAUACCCGGGUGGGAUGACGGUACCCAAAGAAUAAGCACCGGCUAACUUCGUGCCAGCCGCCGCAGUAA
rnacentral:rRNA from 1 species